UGAGGAAUAUUGGUCAAUGGGCGCAAGCCUGAACCAGCUAUCCCGCGUGCAGGAAGAAGGCGCUAAGCGUUGUAAACUGCUUUUCCAGGGGGCGAACGUUUCGUACGUGUACGGGAGUGACGGUACCUUGGGAAUAAGCAUCGGCUAACUCCGUGCCAGCAGCCGCGGUAAUACGGAGGAUGCGAGCGUUAUCCGGAUUUAUUGGGUUUAAAGGGUGCGUAGGCGGAUUAAUAAGUCAGUGGUGAAAACCUGCAGCUUAACUGUGGAAUUGCCGUUGAUACUGUUAGUCUUGAGUAUGGUCAAGGUAGGCGGAAUGUGUAAUGUAGCGGUGAAAUGCUUAGAUAUCACACAGAACACCGAUUGCGAAGGCAGCUUACUGGGCCGUUACUGACGCUGAUGCACGAAAGCGUGGGGAUCGAACAG
rnacentral:rRNA from 1 species